rnacentral:rRNA from 1 species
AACGAACGCUGGCGGCAUGCCUAACACAUGCAAGUCGAACGAGACCUUCGGGUCUAGUGGCGCACGGGUGCGUAACGCGUGGGAACCUGCCUUUAGGUUCGGAAUAACUCAGAGAAAUUUGAGCUAAUACCGGAUGAUGUCUUCGGACCAAAGAUUUAUCGCCUUUAGAUGGGCCCGCGUUGGAUUAGCUAGUUGGUGGGGUAAAGGCCUACCAAGGCGCCGAUCCAUAGCUGGUCUGAGAGGAUGAUCAGCCACACUGGGACUGAGACACGGCCCAGACUCCUACGGGAGGCAGCAGUGGGGAAUAUUGGACAAUGGGCGAAAGCCUGAUCCAGCAAUGCCGCGUGAGUGAUGAAGGCCUUAGGGUUGUAAAGCUCUUUUACCCGAGAUGAUAAUGACAGUAUCGGGAGAAUAAGCUCCGGCUAACUCCGUG